AAGCAGCCGCGGUAAUUCCAGCUCCAAUAGCGUAUAUUAAAGUUGUUGCGGUUAAAAAGCUCGUAGUUGGAUCUCGGCGGGCAGGGGGUGGUUCGCUCUUCAGCGCUACUGCCCCGCUUUGCCCGUGUGAUUGGCGGAGGUUUCGGGGUGCUCUUCGUUGAGUGACUCGGAGCGCCGUCAGGUUUACUUUGAAAAAAUUAGAGUGCUCAAAGCAGGCUUUUCACGCUUGAAUAUUCGUGCAUGGAAUAAUGGAAUAGGAACUCGUUUCUAUUUUGUUGGUUUUCGGAAAUCGAGUUAAUGAUUAACAGGGACAAUUGGGGGCAUUAGUAUUCAGACGACAGAGGUGAAAUUCUUGGACCGUCUGAAGACUGACUACUGCGAAAGCAUUUGCCAAGAGUGUUUUCAUUAAUCAAGAACGAAAGUUAGAGGUUCGAAGGCGAUCAGAUACCGCCCUAGUUCUAACCAUAAACGAUGCCAGCUAGCGAUCUGCCGAGUUUUUUUUGUAGGCUCCGCAGGAAGCUUUCGGGAAACCAAAGCUUUUGGGUUCCGGGGGAAGUAUGGUUGCAAAGCUGAAACUUAAAGGAAUUGACGGAAGGGCACCACCAGGAGUGGAGCCUGCGGCUUAAUUUGACUCAACACGGGAAAUCUCACCAGGCCCGGACACUGGAAGGAUUGACAGAUUGAGAGCUCUUUCUCGAUUCGGUGGGUGGUGGUGCAUGGCCGUUCUUAGUUGGUGGAGUGAUUUGUCUGGUUAAUUCCGAUAACGAACGAGACUCUGUCCUGCUAAAUAGUUGGGUCGUCCUUCGUGCGAUCCAAGUUCUUCUUAGAGGGACUGGCUGCGUCUAGCAGCACGAGAUUGAGCAAUAACAGGUCUGUG
rnacentral:rRNA from 1 species